GAGUUUGAUCCUGGCUCAGGAUGAACGCUGGCGGCGUGCUUAACACAUGCAAGUCGAACGAAGCGCUUGAAUGGAAUUCUUCGGAAGGAAGCUCAAGUGACUGAGUGGCGGACGGGUGAGUAACGCGUGGGUAACCUGCCUCAUACAGGGGGAUAACAGUUAGAAAUGACUGCUAAUACCGCAUAAGCACACGUGAUCGCAUGAUCGAGUGUGAAAAACUCCGGUGGUAUGAGAUGGACCCGCGUCUGAUUAGCUGGUUGGUGGGGUAACGGCCCACCAAGGCGACGAUCAGUAGCCGGCCUGAGAGGGUGAACGGCCACAUUGGGACUGAGACACGGCCCAGACUCCUACGGGAGGCAGCAGUGGGGAAUAUUGCACAAUGGGGGAAACCCUGAUGCAGCGACGCCGCGUGAAGGAAGAAGUAUCUCGGUAUGUAAACUUCUAUCAGCAGGGAAGAUAGUGACGGUACCUGACUAAGAAGCCCCGGCUAACUACGUGCCAGCCGCCGCGGUAAUAC
rnacentral:rRNA from 1 species